rnacentral:rRNA from 1 species
GACAGAGGGUGCAAACGUUGCUCGGAAUCACUGGGCGUAAAGGGCGUGUAGGCGGGACGGUAAGUCGGGCGUGAAAUCCCUAGGCUCAACCUAGGAACUGCACUCGAAACUACCAUUCUUGAGUGUCGGAGAGGAAAGCGGAAUUCCUGGUGUAGAGGUGAAAUUCGUAGAUAUCAGGAGGAACACCAGUGGCGAAGGCGGCUUUCUGGACAUUUCCUGACGCUGAGGCACGAAAGCCAGGGGAGCAAACGGG